UACGUAGGUGGCAAGCGUUGUCCGGAUUUACUGGGCGUAAAGAGCGCGCAGGCGGUCGGAUAAGUCGAAUGUGAAAGCCCCCGGCUCAACUGGGGAGGGUCAUUCGAUACUGUUCGACUCGAAGGCAGGAGAGGGAAGUGGAAUUCCCGGUGUAGUGGUGAAAUGCGUAGAUAUCGGGAGGAAUACCGAUGGCGAAGGCAGGUCUCUGGGCUGACACUGACGCUCAUGCACGAAAGCGUGGGGAGCAAACAGG
rnacentral:rRNA from 1 species